rnacentral:rRNA from 1 species
UACGUAGGGUGCGAGCGUUGUCCGGAAUUAUUGGGCGUAAAGAGCUUGUAGGCGGUCUGUCGCGUCUGCUGUGAAAAUCCGGGGCUCAACCCCGGACUUGCAGUGGGUACGGGCAGACUAGAGUGUGGUAGGGGAGACUGGAAUUCCUGGUGUAGCGGUGAAAUGCGCAGAUAUCAGGAGGAACACCGAUGGCGAAGGCAGGUCUCUGG